rnacentral:rRNA from 1 species
GACGAACGCUGGCGGCGUGCUUAACACAUGCAAGUCGAACGGAAAGGCCCUGCUUUUGUGGUGUGCUCGAGUGGCGAACGGGUGAGUAACACGUGAGUAACCUGCCCUUGACUUUGGGAUAACUUCAGGAAACUGGGGCUAAUACCGUAUAGGAUCUCCUGCUGCAUGGUGGGGGUUGGAAAGUUUCGGCGGUUGGGGAUGGACUCGCGGCUUAUCAGCUUGUUGGUGGGGUAGUGGCUUACCAAGGCUUUGACGGGUAGCCGGCCUGAGAGGGUGAACGGCCACAUUGGGACUGAGAUACGGCCCAGACUCCUACGGGAGGCAGCAGUGGGGAAUAUUGCACAAUGGGCGGAAGCCUGAUGCAGCAACGCCGCGUGCGGGAUGACGGCCUUCGGGUUGUAAACCGCUUUCGCCUGUGACGAAGCGUGAGUGACGGUAAUGGGUAAAGAAGCACCGGCUAACUACGUG